ensembl:rRNA 5S_rRNA 5S ribosomal RNA
GUCCACGGCCGUGACUCCCUGAACGCGUCUGAUCCCGUCUGAUCUCGGAAGCUAAGCAGGGUCGGGCCUGGUUAGUACUUGGAUGGGAGACCGCCUAGGAAGACCAAGUGCUAGGGGUG